ACCCUAGCAUGGCUCAGCUGGUAGAGCAUGUGACUCUAAAUCUCAGGGUCCUGGGUUUGAGCCCCACAUUGGGCA